GACGAACGCUGGCGGCGCGCCUAACACAUGCAAGUCGAACGGAGUCAAGAGGAGCUUGCUUUUCUUGACUUAGUGGCGAACGGGUGAGUAACGCGUGAGUAACCUGCCCUGGAGUGGGGGACAACAGUUGGAAACGACUGCUAAUACCGCAUAAGCCCACGGAUCCGCAUGGAUCUGCGGGAAAAGGAUUUAUUCGCUUCAGGAUGGACUCGCGUCCAAUUAGCUAGUUGGUGAGGUAACGGCCCACCAAGGCGACGAUUAGUAGCCGGACUGAGAGGUUGAACGGCCACAUUGGGACUGAGACACGGCCCAGACUCCUACGGGAAGCAGCAGUGGGGGAUAUUGCACAAUGGGGGAAACCCUGAUGCAGCGACGCCGCGUGGAGGAAGAAGGUUUUCGGAUUGUAAACUCCUGUCGUUAGGGACGAUAAUGACGGUACCUAACAAGAAAGCACCGGCUAACUACGUG
rnacentral:rRNA from 1 species